rnacentral:rRNA from 1 species
UACGUAGGUGGCAAGCGUUGUCCGGAAUUAUUGGGCGUAAAGCGCGCGCAGGCGGUCCUUUAAGUCUGAUGUGAAAGCCCACGGCUCAACCGUGGAGGGUCAUUGGAAACUGGGGGACUUGAGAUGCAGAAGGAGGAAAGUGGAAUUCCACGUGUAGCGGUGAAAUGCGUAGAGAUGUGGAGGAACACCAGUGGCGAAGGCGACUUUCUGGUCUGUAACUGACGCUGAGGCGCGAAAGCGUGGGGAGCAAACAGG